CGGCAUGCCUUACACAUGCAAGUCGAACGGCAGCACGGGAGCAAUCCUGGUGGCGAGUGGCGAACGGGUGAGUAAUAUAUCGGAACGUGCCCAGGCCUCGCAAUAACGCAGCGAAAGCUGUGCUAAUACCGCAUACGAUCUCUGGAUGAAAGCGGGGGACCUGCAAGGGCCUCGCGCGAUUGGAGCGGCCGAUAUCAGAUUAGCUAGUUGGUGGGGUAAAAGCUCACCAAGGCGACGAUCUGUAGCUGGUCUGAGAGGACGACCA
rnacentral:rRNA from 1 species